CUGGGAAGGAAACUAUUCCAAGGAGGAGAAUUUUCCCGCAUCCAAAUAUACAGCCAAAAGCACAGAGACAUUGUUCCUGAUAUAUGCUGUACCUGUUCUGGAAGCCUGUCCCUGCGACCUGCCCCAGCCCGUGGAGCCGACCCAGGGAUUUUAUGACUGCCAGGACAGCGAGGCUGGCAGAAACAGGUGGGCUCACAGCAGGGAGCAACAGUGAAAGCCCCACCACAAGUUCUGCUGGGAUUUUUUUAGGUGGCUAAACUAAAUCUAAUUAAACCAGAGCAUGUUUAAAUGAGCUUCAGUUAAUGUGCACUUUGUAUAACUCUUCUAUUUAAUAAUGGCAGCUCUCGUUUUUAUUAUUAGUGCUAUCGUUUUUCUGUCUUUCCUGAUAUUCCCAGGGAUUGAAUGGAUUAUUUAUCAGAAGCGUUGGGGUUGGGUUUAUAUUUCUAAAAUGCUGUUUUGGAACUGUCCUGUGAACUAGUCCUUGCUGUGCUCAGGAGGCACCGUGGAGACUCAGAGAUGAGAUGUAAAUCUGUGCUUUCAAGCUAAAACGAGACCAUAUUCCAUAGAGAAAGUGUUUUUCUUUUAAGGAGAAGGCAAAUAGAAAGCGGAAAAAAAUGCUAGUUUUUAAAUACAUUUGUAGCUUUUUGAAGGUACCGUCAUUAAAAAAAUUGUUUUUCACUAAUUGACAUAAAGAAGGCAUCAUGUAACUUG